rnacentral:misc_RNA from 1 species
AGAACUGUAGUUUAUUAUUGUGUUAACACUAAUAGACAACGAUUGUCAUCGCUGUAAUUGCUUAAGGUAAUUCUGUCAUGUCCGCAUGAAAACAUCCGAUGGGUCGAAAAUCAUUAUGGAAAUCUUUGUUUUCCAAAAAUAAAUCAGUGGAUGACAGAAGUACUGAGCCAAGUUCCACUACUUCAAAUUCGGAAUCGCGAAUAAUCGAGGAACAAACUGGAAACAAUGAAGAUCCUAAAUCUAGGGUGGAAAGUAAUAACGAUGACAAAACUGCCGAAAAAGAAAGGUCAAUUUCCGUAAAUUAUCCCGUAGAAGGUAAGAAAAACAUUCAAAAAGUGGUAGAAGUUCCAGCAGAAACGUUUAUACUACGCAAAAUAGAAAAAUCUGAAGCUACAUUAAAUACUCAAAUUGCCACUGUAAAUACAAUAACUAUUUUGGAACCCGAGAUUAUAUCUUUAGAAAAAACAGAAAUUAAUGAAGAAGAAAAGAAACGUAGAGCUGCCGAAGACUUAAAGAAGAAAUUAAAGUUAGGGCUGUUUGGUGGCGAUAGCGCAGCCAUUGCAUUGCUGUAUGACAGUGCCACAGGUAGAAACAAAUGUAGCAUGAAAUCUGACGUAAAUGAAAAUGAUGCAAAAAUAACAGAACAGCAUGAAAAUAUUUGUUGUACUACAAAAGAAGGAUGUGUAAUGUCCACUUCGUCUCGUAUUGACAACAUGCUGUCACCUCGAGACAAGACGAGACAAGAUUAAACCAAACAAAAUAUAUGAACCAUUUAUUUCAACACAGGGCCCGAGAAGCCCAGUUCCAUCCAUCCCUGUCGACACCUCUUUAAAAUAUUCACGAGGUUUUCUCAUAGCCUGGAUUCGAUCCCGAGUCUUUCAUAGCUGAUUUUUAUCCGUUUGGUCGUCCGUUGUACAAUAUUAAGUGUAAUUGCAAAGAUUCUGUUAAAAGUCAUAAGCCGAAGUCUUCUCUACGUGUUUACAACUCAGAAAAAAAGAUAUGCACUGUGAGGAAACCACAAAACGAUAACGAUACAGAAAAAAAUUGGGAAGAAAGUAAAGAAAAAUUCAAAGAAAAUCAGUUAAUUAAUUCAAAAAAUAUAGAAAAAUUCACUUAUUUCGAUUACGUAUACGAUUUCAAACAUUACAAAAAGUAUUGUAAUGUUUGAAAUGGUAAAACACUUGCGAUUAAGUUCCUCUAACGAAUAUAUAUGAAUAUAUUUCAUUGUUAAUUAAAAUUGUUAUUAAUUUUCGAACC